rnacentral:ncRNA from 1 species
UGGGCUGGCCGAAAGGCCCAGGUCCACCGGAGGCGGGGGCAUUCCCC